AAGCAUCUUCAAAGAUCUCCUUUUGGAAAUGGCUCCCCAGUCAGACAUCUAAAGAGUGGAAGGCUGAUGAGGCUACUGCCCAAGACUGCAUUUCGUGAAUACUGAGGAUGAGGACUUUGUUUCCUUAUCCCAUGUCUAGGAUGCUCAACAGGCGAUGUGGGUGGCUCUGGGCACUUGAUGGGGCUGUUUGGAAGCAGGUCUGCAGGAAGAGCAACCAGAGAGGAGAAAACAAAACUGUAGUUAGAGGAGGCCCUGCCAGCGAUUUCUGCAGACACAGACGCCCGGGUUGGAGAUGCCUUUUCUUGCACUGUGAUGUGCUUCCAGGAUCAGACCCCACCCCCUGCCCUGGGGGCUGGAGACCCCUCUUGCUUUCAGCAGGAAUUGCAGGUCCCAGAAGGGACCUUGCUGAGAGCUGCAGCAUCUUCAGCCGUUUAUGACCGUUUCCAAAGCUACUGCUCCCGUCCGUCCACGGGAGAAGGGUGCCAUUCAACAGAAAAAUGGUGCAAGCCACAAAGCCACAGUGUGCCCAGCAGCUACUGUAUUAGUGCAGCUCCAGAGCAAAGCUGGACCUGUGGGAUCCCUUGGAAAUGAACACACAGAGGAUUCUCCUUCCAGGAGGAGACCAAAACCAGCUCGCACUGAUGUCAGCAACUGGCAGACAUAAGCAACUGGCCGCUGCUUGAGGUCAUUUAAAAAGAGAGCCUUCCCCAGAGGAUCUAAACAGACAUUUCUCCAAAGACACACAGAUGGCCAAAAAGCACAUGACAAGAUGCUCAACAUCAUUAAUUAUCAGAGAAAUGUAAAUCAA